rnacentral:lncRNA from 1 species
CAAAGACACAAGACUCACACAAAGAUAUUUGUUUGCAUUAGCAUUAGGUGUGUGCGUGCAUACAACAAAGAAUGAUUUUGAAGCUUAGGCCCAAUUCUAAACUUACAAAAACCCACACAGAUGUAGCUCAGAGCCCAGUCUCUGGAAGAGAGAGGAGGAUUCCUGGUCACCUGCAAUGACACACUUUAGGAGGGGGCAGGGAGGGGAAGGCAUCCAGUCACAGCUGCUACCUAGCAAGCGGCUCUACUGGAAACCAACAAACUUCAGCCUGACCUCAGCUGGGUGACAACACCCAUCAGUCCCG